rnacentral:lncRNA from 1 species
CAAAUGUCGAAAGAAGUUAGAAAGGCAUGUGACGUGUGCCUGUAGUUGCAGCUACUCGGGAGGCUGAAGCGAGAGGAUUGCUUGAGCCCAGGAGACUGAGGCUGCAGUGAGCCAUGAUCGCACAACUGUGCUCCAGCCUGGGAGUCAGAGCAAGGCUGUAUCAUAAAAAAAAAAAAAAAAAAAAAAAAAAAAACUCUGCUUAAUGUA